AGGGGUUUGGGGUGGGACAAUGUUAUGUAAAAAGUAACCCUUUGCCUCCCCAGGCAUGUCACAACAUCUGCUAAUUUUUUUCAAAUUUUAAUUAGGAGCUUAAAAUGUUUUUCAAACUUACACCAUAAAAUCUCACCUCCUCCACAGAGCACCCGCUUUGCUUUGUGGGACGCUAAAACUCAAUAACAAAACACAUUAAGCAAACAAACAAACAAAAAAAAAUUAAAAACAAACACUUAAAUCUCGAACCACAGCCGGACAAAUUAAACAGUGAUGGUAUUUAAUACAAAUAUAAUGUUUUUUUAGUUCAGUCUCUUCCAGUUUAGGAUUCUCUUUUAGGAAGGGUACAGCUCUUAGAUCUCCUCUCACACGGGGCAGAGUUCUUCGAUCUCCAGUUUCGGCUCUGGUUCCCAUGUGGGCGUCGCCCCUUUAGAUGUUCUCGGUGAAACCCUGGCUUUCGACCUCAGGUUACAGUUUCGAUCUCCCAGGAGGAAGUGUUGCCCACGAUGGAAAAGGCACAGCCCCCAGGGGUGGAGCAGCCGAACAAAUGGCUGGGAGUGAAGCAGGAGUUACUGGGGGAAGGGAAGGUUCGGGACCGGAAAAGACGGAGCAAGGCGGGAAACAAGGGAUCCCAGACCGCAUGGCCGGCGCCAUCUUGGAAAGGGGGGGGUGGUCCGGGACGGACUUUUCCAGACCGGGAACGGGGAAUGUGGCAAGACAGGGGGUGAAGGAGGACACGGAACAGCGGGCAGACGGCAGCAGACCCGCACCACUCUGGAUGUUCUCCGUCCCUUGCCUGCCUUCAGGAAAACAGGGGAUGGGAUGGCAAAAGACACCGGGGUGACGGGGAGACGGCAGCAGCCCCGAGCAAUCUUGGCUUUUCUCACCCUUUGUCCUGCCCUUAGGAGCAUAGGAGAGGGGAAGGUACAGUUUAAAAACAAGAGCUGGUGCUUGCCUCACGAGCCAACAUUUUACCUAUGGAAAUCGCCAUGGCCUGGGUGAAGUGAAAGGAAUCUCACCUACCUGCAAGGACAGGUUCCUUGGCAGUGACUCCUGCAUCUAUCACAGCUCCAUUCUGCAGCACAAAGGAGAUUAUUCAGAUCUAUAGUUCUGUCAAAUGACACUCCUUAAGAUAUUGUGUAAGCUUAAAAGGUGAAUUUAUGCUCUGGCUUAUAUACCUCUUUAUGCCUGAGGCACUUUGAUGUAUAAAAAUAUUUCAAUAAAAGCAAAUAAACACAUACACCCACCACUUGCUGGGGCCAUGAGCUCUGAGAGUUAUUUUGUGUUUUGUUA